rnacentral:rRNA from 1 species
GUAGUGGGGAGUCUCGCCCGAUAGAGGGGGAUAACUACUGGAAACGGUGGCUAAUACCGCAUAAUGUCUACGGACCAAAGCAGGGGCUCUUCGGACCUUGCACUAUCGGAUGAACCCAUAUGGGAUUAGCUAGUAGGUGGGGUAAAGGCUCACCUAGGCGACGAUCUCUAGCUGGUCUGAGAGGAUGAUCAGCCACACUGGGACUGAGACACGGCCCAG